UAACUGGUGUAGGCAGGGUGGCCCGCUUGAGCUCCCACCAGCGUACUGCUUCCCCUACCAGCAUGUAGGAGGCAAUGGCAGCCCUCUGCUCAGGAACUACUCCCAAGGUCUCGAAGGCUCUCUCAGUCUCUGCCAGCCAAUAUUGGGCCUCUUCAAAAGAGGAUCCCCCUGCAAAAGUAGAAGGGUUCAGUCUUCUGUACCUCUCUAUGAAGCUGGGAUCGAUCAAGGAAGGAGCGGGGUCCCGAGGUAGGGGGACUGAGACCGGCUGAGGGUGAACUGGGGGACCCUGUGGUGGAACCUGCUGAUGUGGUGGGGGUACUGGAAAGUGCUGUGGCGGCGCCUGCUGGUACUGUGGCUGUGGUACCGGGUCGUACCGCGGCUGUGGUGCCGGUUGGUACUAUGGAGGAACAGACUCCUGCCGGGGUGGUACGGGAUCUGCCUGCUGUAGUGGGGGCUCAACCUGCGCUAGCGGAGGAGGUCCGGGUAACUCUCUUCUCUCCUCUUGCCUUCGCUGGGCAGCUAUGAGAGCCUCCACCAUCUCAUA
rnacentral:lncRNA from 1 species